AGAGUUUGAUCCUGGCUCAGAUUGAGCGCUGGCGGCAUGCUUUACACAUGCAAGUCGAACGGUAACAGCACUUCGGUGGCUGACGAGUGGCGAACGGGUGAGUAAUACAUCGGAACGUGCCUAGUAGAGGGGGAUAACUACUCGAAAGAGUAGCUAAUACCGCAUGAGAUCUACGGAUGAAAGCAGGGGACCUUCGGGCCUUGUGCUACUAGAGCGGCUGAUGGCAGAUUAGGUAGUUGGUGGGGUAAAGGCUCACCAAGCCAACGAUCUGUAGCUGGUCUGAGAGGACGACCAGCCACACUGGAACUGAGACACGGUCCAGACUCCUACGGGAGGCAGCAGUGGGGAAUUUUGGACAAUGGGCGCAAGCCUGAUCCAGCAAUGCCGCGUGCAGGAUGAAGGCCUUCGGGUUGUAAACUGCUUUUGUACAGAACGAAAAGUCUUGGGUUAAUACCCUGGGAUCAUGACGGUACUGUAAGAAUAAGCACCGGCUAACUACGUGCCAGCAGCCGCGGUAAUACGUAGGGUGCAAGCGUUAAUCGGAAUUACUGGGCGUAAAGCGUGCGCAGGCGGUUAUGUAAGACAGAGGUGAAAUCCCCGGGCUCAACCUGGGAACGGCCUUUGUGACUGCAUAGCUAGAGUACGGUAGAGGGGGAUGGAAUUCCGCGUGUAGCAGUGAAAUGCGUAGAUAUGCGGGGGAACACCGAUGGCGAAGGCAAUCCCCUGGACCUGUACUGACGCUCAUGCACGAAAGCGUGGGGAGCAAACAGGAUUAGAUACCCUGGUAGUCC
rnacentral:rRNA from 1 species